GACGAACGCUGGCGGCGUGCUUAACACAUGCAAGUCGAACGGUAAGGCCCUUCGGGGUACACGAGUGGCGAACGGGUGAGUAACACGUGGGUGAUCUGCCCUGCACUUCGGGAUAAGCCUGGGAAACUGGGUCUAAUACCGGAUAGGACUCCGGACUGCAUGGUCUGGGGUGGAAAGCUUUUGCGGUGUGGGAUGGGCCCGCGGCCUAUCAGCUUGUUGGUGGGGUGAUGGCCUACCGAGGCGACGACGGGUAGCCGGCCUGAGAGGGUGACCGGCCACACUGGGACUGAGAUACGGCCCAGACUCCUACGGGAGGCAGCAGUGGGGAAUAUUGCACAAUGGGCGCAAGCCUGAUGCAGCGACGCCGCGUGAGGGAUGACGGCCUUCGGGUUGUAAACCUCUUUCAGCAUCGACGAAGCGAAAGUGACGGUAGGUGCAGAAGAAGGACCGGCCAACUACGUGCCAGCCGCCGCGGUAC
rnacentral:rRNA from 1 species